AGAGUUUGAUCCUGGCUCAGAUUGAACGCUGGCGGAAUGCUUUACACAUGCAAGUCGAACGGCAGCACGGGAGCUUGCUCCUGGUGGCGAGUGGCGAACGGGUGAGUAAUAUACCGGAACAUAUCCUGUCGUGGGGGAUAACUAGUCGAAAGACUAGCUAAUACCGCAUACGUCCUGAGGGAGAAAGCGGGGGCUCGCAAGACCUCGCGCGAUUGGAGUGGCCGAUAUCUGAUUAGCUAGAUGGUGAGGUAAAGGCUCACCAUGGCUUCGAUCAGUAGCUGGUCUGAGAGGAUGAUCAGCCACACUGGGACUGAGACACGGCCCAGACUCCUACGGGAGGCAGCAGUGGGGAAUUUUGGACAAUGGGCGAAAGCCUGAUCCAGCCAUUCCGCGUGAGUGAAGAAGGCCUUCGGGUUGUAAAGCUCUUUCGGCAGGAACGAAACGGCGGAUAUUAAUACUAUCCGUUACUGACGGUACCUGAAGAAGAAGCACCGGCUAACUACGUGCCAGCAGCCGCGGUAAUAC
rnacentral:rRNA from 1 species